UUUAAUUAAUAAAUGCAUCAUGUACAAGAAAGAACAAGCCAAUUUAGAGGGGGCAAACUGGCACAUUUCCAAAACUUUUAAGACGUCUCGGGGGUAAUAUAGUAAUUUCAUCCUACAUUCAUGUCACUAAUCAAUCUCACCACCGUAUGUCCUUUCAUCUACCUCCUAAAUCCCUAAAGAACAGAUGAUCGGUCCAUCCCUUCUUCAUGAACCUUCAAUCUCUCGUACGGUGAAGAUUGUGGAUGAUAGCAACGCACAUGGUCUAAACAGGAUGAGUAAUUUUACAUCACUUCAUUCCGAUUUGACUCUGUUUUCUUCUUUCAAGUAUCUGCACUGAAAUCGAGUUUAUACAAACUUCUUGAUCCGUUUAUCAGGAUAUCUCUCUUCUUCAUGGUCUGGGAAUCAAAUUUGUUCUUGUUCCAAGGAAACAUGUACAGAUUGAUAAGCUUUAAGCUGAAAAUGGACGUGAACCAAAAUACAUUGGAAGAUACAGAGUUACCGACGGGAAGAAUCCGGUUGAUGAUCAAGGCAAAGUUGUCACCAGGGCCGUCUUUAUGCGGCAUCCGUGGACACGGAGAGAAAAGGCGGUUGCAUUUCAAUGUCAGUGUUGCAAGUGGUAAUUUUCUUGUUGCCAAGGGAAGAGGAGUUGUCGAAGGCAUUCAUUAUGAAGUAACGGGUGAAGUAAAGAAAGUUGAUGUUCAUCGCAAAUGUGAGCGGCUGGAUUUUGAUUCUAUUGUGAUUUUAAGCAACCUUGGAUAUUCUAGCUCCGGAGGUGUACUGAAUUGCAAGUAUGCUAUGUAGUUGUUAAUAGCAUGUAGGAAGUUGCUACUGCUUGUGCGUUGGCGCUUGGAGCAGAGUAACUUAUCUGCAUUAUCAAUGGGCCAAUUUUGGAUGAAUGGGGCCGGUUAAUCAGAUUUUUGACACUUGAAGAUGCUGACAUGUUAAUACGUAGGCGAGCCAAGCAAAGCGAGAUUGCAGGUCCGCUCUACUCUUCUGCUCCUACACACUGAUCGAAUAACAAGGAUUCCAUUUUCCGGUGCCGGUUUCGUCAUUACAAGAGUGGUAGGGUUGUUUUCGGAGAGUAAAAUCGUUACUCCGAUUGUUUGGUUGUGAUAAAAAAGAUGCAAGGGCGGACUAGAGUUCAGGAUAGGCGACGAAGCUUGGUGUUUGUGGUCUAAUCGGAGGUAAUGUAUGGCAAGCGUUGGUGAAUCACCCACUGACUUUUUACUUUUCGAAUUGCAGGAAUCCAGUCGCACCAUAGGUACAUCUUCAAUGAUCAGGCGGUUUCUGAUCCCUUACGAAGCCCUUUUCUCAAACCGUGCACGUCGAAGUCCACUCAGUACAAAUAGACGGAAGGAAAAUCAACUUAGUCGCCACCACCGCUGCCAAGAAACCAGCAAGAUGAUUAUAUAUUUGGGAUGAUUUUGUUUGAUCUAGGAGGCUGAACGUUCAAGAUCCUUAAGGUUUACAUUCAAAUUAAGUUCAGCUUCAUAUAUUUUUAUUAAGGAUUGAAAACAGUUGGGUCGAUUAGGAUUCCGAUAUGCAUUACGGAACUGGAUUGACUCAGUGUAGAUCUUGGGUUUGGGUUUUGGCUGAGUGUUGUGGAUGCCUUGUUGACUCAUCCGACUGUCUGCACCAGCACCAUCAUUCAGACCACCUGCACCGUCAUCCGUACCGUCUACACCUGCACCGUCACCCGUACUGUCUGCACCAGCACCGUCAUCCGUACCGUCUGCACCAGCACCGUCAUCCGUACCGUCUGCACCAGCACCAUCACCAUAAUCUAAACCGCCCGCACUGUCUGCACCAGCAUUUCGGUUUGUGAGAAUCUCGAUACGUUAAAUUUCGCUGAAAAUAAUUUAUCCGGUGAGAUACCAGUGAAGUUAGGAAGCUUGAUGAAGUUGAAGUUUCUUAAUCUGUCGUAUAACGAUCUUUCGGGUUCGAUCCCGAACGGAAACAUGUUUAAAACGAUGAAGUUGGAUAUGUGGAGCCCUGUUUGGCAGAAUUCGGGUUUAAAACAAUAUCUGCAAUGGAAACAGGUGAAUACAAGGGUCUCAUGGAUCAUGACCUGAAAGAUGAUGUAAUCGGCUUCGGGAGGUUGUUUUGGAGAUUUUGACUGACGGAAGACGAAAAAAUGGUGGAAUAAACAUUCGCAAAACACAAAAAAAUGUUCGAUUGAAAUAUUUCGAUGUAAUUAUUAAAAGUUUAGUUGAAUGAUCCAACAAUCACAUUCCGAAGCCUCGGUAAGCGAAGUUCGACGACCCGUUCCCUUGAAUCUCUCUGCUUUUAGUUUAGCAUCGGCAUACAGGUUAUGCAUCAAGGAAACAAAAAGUUUUUAUAAUGUUCCUUCGAUCUAUUUGCUGCAACUUGUACAUUGACAUGGUUAUUAUCAAUUUUUGUAUGGAAAGAAGAAAUUUGCCACAACGACAAGAGUUGUGACCAUUGCUUUAUAAGCAUCCUCGCUCUUCCUGGUGUACUUGCAUUGUUUAAUGAAAAGACCGUUUACGUUCAGAAGCAUCCAGAUUUUUGCAGGCUCAUACGUAGCAUCAGGUGUAGAUAUUAAAGUUUUGACAAAUCGAAUUGAUGAGCUUUCUGAGGUUUCUAGACACACUCGUAUGAUUGUUUUAGAACUUUGAACCAUUGAGGCCGCUUGAGUUGAAUAUGGUCUAUGUAUCAUAGAAGCAUGACAUUUUUUUAUUACUACAAUUUUUAUAGGAGAUAGGGUUAGUGUGUAAGUGUUGUAAUUUGCGACAAAGAUUUGCAGUAGACGUGUUGGAUUAUUUUCUUGAAAAUUUUGGAAUAACCUUUAUUA